AUUGAACGCUGGCGGUAGGCUUAACACAUGCAAGUCGAGCGAGUGGCGGACGGGUGAGUAAUGUCUGGGAAACUGCCUGAUGGAGGGGGAUAACUACUGGAAACGGUAGCUAAUACCGCAUACCAUCAGAUGUGCCCAGAUGGGAUUAGCUAGUAGGUGGGGUAAUGGCUCACCUAGGCGACGAUCCCUAGCUGGUCUGAGAGGAUGACCAGCGACACUGGAGCUGAGACACGGUCCAGACUCCUACGGGAGGGAGCAGUGGGGAGAAUUGCACAAUGGGCGCAAGGCUGGUGCAGCGAUGCGGGGUGUGUGAAGAAGGCCCUCGGGUGGUAAAACACUUGCAGCGAGGGGGCGUUACUCGCAGAGGAGGCACCGGCUAACUCCGUGCCAGCAGCCCCGGUAAAACC
rnacentral:rRNA from 1 species